GAUGUACGCUAGCGGGAGGCCUAACACAUGCAAGCCGAGCGGUAUGGAUAGCUUGCUAUCCAGAGAGCGGCGUACGGGUGCGUAACACGUGUGCAACCUACCUUUAUCUGGGGGAUAGCCUUUCGAAAGGAAGAUUAAUACCCCAUAAUAUAAUGAUUGGCAUCAAUUAUUAUUGAAAACUCCGGUGGAUAGAGAUGGGCACGCGCAAGAUUAGAUAGUUGGUGAGGUAACGGCUCACCAAGUCAAUGAUCUUUAGGGGUCCUGAGAGGGAGAUCCCCCACACUGGUACUGAGACACGGACCAGACUCCUACGGGAGGCAGCAGUGAGGAAUAUUGGACAAUGGGUGAGAGCCUGAUCCAGCCAUCCCGCGUGAAGGAUGACGGUCCUAUGGAUUGUAAACUUCUUUUGUACAGGGAUAAACCUACCCUCGUGAGGGUAGCUGAAGGUACUGUACGAAUAAGCACCGGCUAACUCCGUG
rnacentral:rRNA from 1 species